GAACGCUGGCGGCGUGCUUAACACAUGCAAGUCGAGCGAUGAAGUUUCUUCGGAAAUGGAUUAGCGGCGAACGGGUGAGUAACACGUGAGGAAUCUGCCCUUCACUUUGGAAUAACUCCGGGAAACCGGAGCUAAUACCGGAUACGAACUCUGGCGGCAUCGCCGGAGUUGGAAAGUUUUUCGGUGAAGGAUGACCUCGCGGCCUAUCAGCUUGUUGGUGAGGUAAUGGCUCACCAAGGCGACGACGGGUAGCCGGCCUGAGAGGGCGACCGGCCACACUGGGACUGAGACACGGCCCAGACUCCUACGGGAGGCAGCAGUGGGGAAUAUUGGGCAAUGGGCGAAAGCCUGACCCAGCGACGCCGCGUGCGGGAUGAAGGCCUUCGGGUUGUAAACCGCUUUCAGCAGGGAAGAAGCGAAAGUGACGGUACCUGAAGAAGAAGCACCGGCUAACUAUGUGCCAGCAGCCGCGGUAAUACAUAGGGUGCAAGCGUUGUCCGGAAUUAUUGGGCGUAAAGAGCUCGUAGGUGGUUCGUUACGUCGGAUGUGAAAACUUGAGGCUCAACCUCAGGCCUGCAUUCGAUACGGGCGAACUGGAGUGUGGUAGGGGAGAGCUGGAAUUCCGUGGUGUAGCGGUGGAA
rnacentral:rRNA from 1 species